GAUGAACGCUGGCGGCGUGCCUAAUACAUGCAAGUCGAGCGAAUGGAUUAAGAGCUUGCUCUUAUGAAGUUAGCGGCGGACGGGUGAGUAACACGUGGGUAACCUGCCCAUAAGACUGGGAUAACUCCGGGAAACCGGGGCUAAUACCGGAUAACAUUUUGAACCGCAUGGUUCGAAAUUGAAAGGCGGCUUCGGCUGUCACUUAUGGAUGGACCCGCGUCGCAUUAGCUAGGUGGUGAGGUAACGGCUCACCAAGGCAACGAUGCGUAGCCGAUCUGAGAGGGUGAUCGGCCACACUGGGACUGAGACACGGCCCAGACUCCUACGGGAGGCAGCAGUAGGGAAUCUUCCGCAAUGGACGAAAGUCUGACGGAGCAACGCCGCGUGAGUGAUGAAGGCUUUCGGGUCGUAAAACUCUGUUGUUAGGGAAGAACAAGUGCUAGUUGAAUAAGCUGACACCUUGACGGUACCUAACCAGAAAGCCACGGCUAACUACGUGCCAGCCGCCGCGGUAA
rnacentral:rRNA from 1 species